rnacentral:lncRNA from 1 species
GAAAGAAAUGCAACUUGAAGAGCUGUCUGAAACACUGGGAAAAGCUGAAGAACUUCUAGUGAAGAAGAAAGAUCUUGAGGCUACUGUUGAAAAUUUGCAAGAGAGAGAAAAAGAGAUGAAAAAUAUUCUUCAAGUCAGAGAGACUAAAGAAUGAGCAACUAACAGUGAAUAUCAAUGCACUGUUAUUAGAGAAAGAACAAAUGGCACAAGAGAAAAGUAAUAUGGCUACAGAACUCAA